AUUGAACGCUGGCGGCAUGCUUUACACAUGCAAGUCGAACGGCAGCACGGACUUCGGUCUGGUGGCGAGUGGCGAACGGGUGAGUAAUACAUCGGAACGUACCCAGUAAUGGGGGAUAACUAGUCGAAAGAUUAGCUAAUACCGCAUACGCCCUACGGGGGAAAGAGGGGGAUCGCAAGACCUCUUGUUAUUGGAGCGGCCGAUGGCUGAUUAGCUAGUUGGUGGGGUAAAGGCCUACCAAGGCGACGAUCAGUAGCGGGUCUUAGAGGACGAUCCGCCACACUGGAACUGAGACACGGUCCAGACUCCUACGGGAGGCAGCAGUGGGGAAUCUUGGACAAUGGGCGCAAGCCUGAUCCAGCAAUGCCGCGUGCGUGAAGAUGGCUUUCGGGUUGUAAAGCGCUUUUGUCUGGGAGCAAAUCCUUGUGGCUAAUACCCACCGGGGAUGAGAGUACCAGAAGAAUAAGGACCGGCUAACUACGUGCCAGCCGCCGCAGUAACAC
rnacentral:rRNA from 1 species